GAUGAACGCUGGCGGCGUGCCUAAUACAUGCAAGUCGAGCGAACGGACGAGAAGCUUGCUUCUCUGAUGUUAGCGGCGGACGGGUGAGUAACACGUGGAUAACCUACCUAUAAGACUGGGAUAACUUCGGGAAACCGGAGCUAAUACCGGAUAAUAUUUUGAACCGCAUGGUUCAAAAGUGAAAGACGGUCUUGCUGUCACUUAUAGAUGGAUCCGCGCUGCAUUAGCUAGUUGGUAAGGUAACGGCUUACCAAGGCAGCGAUGCAUAGCCGACCUGAGAGGGUGAUCGGCCACACUGGAACUGAGACACGGUCCAGACUCCUACGGGAGGCAGCAGUAGGGAAUCUUCCGCAAUGGGCGAAAGCCUGACGGAGCAACGCCGCGUGAGUGAUGAAGGUCUUCGGAUCGUAAAACUCUGUUAUUAGGGAAGAACAGAUGUGUAAGUAACUGUGCACAUCUUGACGGUACCUAAUCAGAAAGCCACGGCUAACUACGUG
rnacentral:rRNA from 1 species